GAUGAACGCUGGCGGCGUGCCUAAUACAUGCAAGUAGAACGCUGAAGGAAGGAGCUUGCUCUUUCCGGGUGAGUUGCGAACGGGUGAGUAACGCGUAGGUAACCUGCCUGGUAGCGGGGGAUCACUAUGGGAAACGAUAGCUAAUACCGCAUAACAUUAGGUGUUGCGUUAUAUCUACUUAAAAGGUGCCGUUUCACGACUACCAGAUGGACCUGCGUUGUAUUAGCUGGGUGGUGAGGUAACGGCGCACCAAGGGGUAGUAACAGAGCCGCACUGAGCGGACGAUUGGCCACACUGGGAGGGUGACACGCCCCAGAGUGCUACGGGAGGGAGCAGUAGGGAAUCUUCGGGCAUGGAUGGAAGACUGACCGAGCAACGCCGCGUGAGUGAAGAGGGACGUCGGAUCGGAAAGCUCGGUUGUAAGGGAAGAACGAGUGUGAGCGUGGAAAGUUCCCUCUGUGACGGUAGCUUACCAGAAAGGGACGGCUAACUACGUG
rnacentral:rRNA from 1 species